rnacentral:rRNA from 1 species
AUUGACCGCUGGCGGCAGGCCUAACACAUGCAAGUCGAGCGAGCGGCGGACGGGUGAGUAAUGUCUGGGAAACUGCCUGAUGGAGGGGGAUAACUACUGGAAACGGUAGCUAAUACCGCAUACCAUCAGAUGUGCCCAGAUGGGAUUAGCUAGUAGGUGGGGUAACGGCUCACCUAGGGUACGAUCCCUAGCUGGUCUGAGAGGAUGACCAGCCACACUGGGACUGAGACACGGACCAGACGCCUACGGGAGGCAGCAGUGGGGAAUAAUGCACAAUGUUCGCAAGCCGGUGGCAGCCAUGCCGCGUGUGUGAAGAAGGCCUUCGGGUUGUAAAGCACUUUCAGCGGGGAGGCGUUACCCGCAGAAGAAGCACCGGCUAACUCCGUGCCAGCAGCCGCGGUAAUAC